UGUCUAGCAUUUUUGCUUUUCCCCUCCUCCCGUCUGCUUUCCCAGAUCCACCCCGAGUCGACCCCGCCUCCGUCGCCGCCCGCGCUCUUGCAAGCCGCCGACGACCUCCUCUGCCGGUCAGCCGUGUCCAGCGCCCUCCUCCCUUCUCUCUACGUCUCCUCACUAAUCUCUCUCCCUCUCUCCAUUCCCACACUGCAGUUUGCCAUGGCCACUGGAGGCUGGGGAAGGGGCCAGCGGGCCGCGAUGGCCCAGGGCGGCAUGGAAGCCAUUGGAGGUGCCGGCGAGGCCGAGGUCGAGGUUAAUGAGCCUAGCGGCGGCGGCCGGGUGCGCGUCGAGCGCCGGCAGGACAUCCUCGGUCUAGCAGUACAACUUGGAGAGGUCGAGCGCGGUGAGCUCGGGGCAAGCCUAGAGCAGCGACUCGAGAUCCGAACAGUCGAGGAGGUCGAGGGCCUACUGGUGCCAGCGUACGACCUUUGAUGCUAUGGAGCGUGGCUGGCGAGCAUGGAGGGUCACGGCAGUAGACGGCAAGGUCGGACACGACGGGGAAGUAGGCAGCGAGGUGCGCUGCAACGAAGGCGUUCGGUUUGGCGAUCUCCUCCUGGUGGAGUGGGAGGUCGUUGGAGAGGAGGAGGCGGGCGCCCCUGCGACGUGCGAGGCCGAUGAGAGAAGCGUUGUCCCCACAACGAGGUCAAUGAGAGGUCGAGCCGCUCGAGCAUUGGGAAGCAGAAGGUCAGCGGGAGCAGCAGGAAGUAGGGCAUCCUCGGGUCCCUGCACAAAGCCAUCGCGCCCGCUCCGCUGCAAGUAGCCCGUGGAUGCCAUCAGGGCACGCUGCUGUGAUCAAGGAUCGCCCAGGAAGCCCAGGAUAAGAUGUGCACAAACUGAACAAUAAGGAGUGGACAACCAGGAGGAGAACGACAUCACAGGACGAUUUUCACACAACCUUGUGAUCGAUGGCUGCGGCCGAGGUGAUCGAUGGCUGCUAUAUCUUGUCAUGUAGAAAUCAGGCACAACCCAUAGCCUGUGUAGCAGUUCUCUUUGCAUCUUUGAGCAGAUGAGUUGUUAUGCUUCUGUACUAUCUAACUUCCAUCCCCAAAAUAGUUGGUAGAUGACUAUUGUAUUGACCAUGUUAUUAAGGGUAAUGUGCAUAAGACAUUAGUGAAGUCAAUA